AUAAAGGUUUGGUGCCUUUAGAAGAAGAGAGAUAUCCAAGAUUUCUCUCGCCACUGUGUGAAAACAGCAAGGAGGCGGCUGUCUGCAAUCCAGAAAGGGAGUUCUCACCAGAAACUGACCAUCCCAGACCCUGACCCGGGACUUCUAGCCUUCACAGCUGUGAGAAAUAUAUAUUUCUGUUGUUGAAGCCACAUAGUCUGUGGUAUUUUGCCAUUGCAGCCUCAGCAGACUAACAGUCAUGAAAACCCUCCAGCAGCAGCCACUAUAACUGGGCAGGAGGAAAUCCAAUCACCUUUUGAGAUGACUUGUCAAUGCUCCAUUCUUUCCAGACCGCAGAAGGUCAGCACACGGUGGUCUGAUGAGCUGCUUGGAGUGUGUGUCAUCAAUGGGCCCUCCUGGAGAUGCCGCGGCUGUGCAGUCCCCUCAGGGGCCAGGCUGCAUCUGGUGAAACUUCAUUUCAACACAGGUGUUGGUGACAUGGUCACGUCAUGUAGAAAUGAGAGAUUCAGUUGCUCCUUCCCUUGGUGGCCUGUCUACACAGCUUCAUGAAGGGAGGAAUGGAGAAAUUUCUGUCCCUCCACCCAAAGACAUUUUAAGAAGGAAGAAUAAAUCCAAGCACCUGGAACCUUCAGUCAAGUCACAUUUUUAUCUAUCCCAUUGGUGUAAGGGGAAUGUGAAAGACUGAAUCAUACUUGAAGGAUAAAGCUAGCUGUCUAGAGAUCUUUUGGGAACAAAAGUUUUACUGAAACUGUCGUAUAGUCAAGGUGAUGUAGUUUUGGAAUACAGUUGAAGAAACAUAUGAAGAGGUUAAGUAACUUUCCUAUGGUCAUAGAAGUGAUAAGUGAUGAACCAGGGCUUAUCUGAUCCGGAAUUGAUGGCCUGUCCAUUCUAUCACAACACCACCUCCAAGCAUUAUCUUCACCUGAAUUUUUUCCCUGUAUCUCAAGGAAGCAUAGCCCAGUGAAGAACUAUUUAACCCAGUGAAGAAUCAUUGUAUUAAACUGUGAAAUGUCCACCAGGAGAAGCACAGAAUAUGCUGGUAGUUCAGAAGAAAAGGAGUUCUAUGGUGUUGGAGAGGGGAUCAGAGAAGGAUUCCUGAAAGAGGGUGAGAAAUUCGGAUUUAAUUAUAAUGAGAGAGGAAACCAUCAAUGGAUUUAAGGGAGAGAAGUGGUGUGACCUAAUAUGAUCUGAUUUACAUUUUCAGGUGGGCAAGCAGAAGCUGGACCUUGAUAACCAAAAGAAGCGUUGUCAUAACCCAGCCCAAUCCAUAAUUAGAUAGCGAUCUCUCUAGCUGGCAGCUCCAUCCAAGGUCAGCAAAUGAAUCUCCUAGUGUUCAAGGAACGUUGCCUCAGAAGGAGACUAUUCCAGGUAUCCAUCCUCGUUUGUGCAACACCUGCAUUCCAGUCGUUUCUUUCUGAAUGGUAAGUCAGCCACAGAAACAGCACAGCAUACUUGCCUUAUCUCUAUUUCCCCUCACGGCAGUGAUGUAAUGCGAUGGAAAUCUCUGCCUGUUUAUUGUAUCAUCAGCAAUAGCUCUAUGACUACAUAGUAUUCUGAGAAGGGUGGAGAUACAAUUAAAAUGUAAGUAAACUAAAACCCACCUCCCCACAUUAUCCCGGGCUUCGGGUAUGUUCCACCCUCCCUGUCCCUGGCCAUGUUCAAGUCUUUGUAUUGUUUCCUGGAUUGUCCCACUAAGGCCAUAUGUAUCUGCUUGUAGCCAGUGCAACUGAGCUCCCCAAACACAGAUUCCCAUGAAAACGGAACAAAAGACGAGGGAGAGGCAGAGCAUGUUAAAUGUCUCAUUAGGCCUUCUGUCUGAUUCUCAUUAGAUUCGCUGACUGCUUCUCAUUAGGCCCAUUGCCUCCACUUCUUGCAGGCCCUGAAUAUGUAGGCCAGUGCUUAUUGUCAUGGUUGGUCCAGAAGAUCCAUUUCAUUUAUUCACAAAUUGAAUGUGGCUUCUGAAAAGUCCCGGGCAAUUUUUUUGGCAAAGUUGAGAGAGGCUUAUUGUUGCUAUUUGCUAUUUUUUGAGCAAUCCUAAGCAGGGUGGGCGGGAGAACUCAUUUAAAGACCCAGCACAAAAACUUCAAACUCUCCUGCAGAAUUGGGAGGCUGGGAGAUAACUGGCCAGCCUGUAUGUGCGGACAUCAGGAACGGGUGACGUUGUGGGCAAAGUCACAAAUACGACUGGGUAAGACAGAACAAGAUGCUCAAUGGCAGGGUGUGGAAGAGGAUAGUUGUCAGGGACCACUGGUGACUGCAACUCCCAUCCUCCCUGAUCUCUGGGAACAUUUCCCCAGUUGUUGAAAUAAGAGCCAAAUGAUAGUAUGGAAAAGUCACCAUAUAGUCGAAUAGUCUACAAAUUAUGUGUGCGUGUGAAAAGAAAUCACUUAUAUCUCAUUAUUCUUCUCACUGAAACAUAGUGCCUGCUUCCUUCUACUGGGAAGAAAGCUCCCAAUAUAUGUUGCCGUCGAUGACAUCAGUGGACAUGGCCCUGAAUUACAACACAAAAACGUGUAUCUCCAAAAGAAGAAACAGAUAUAGAUGAGCAUUUCUCAAAAAGUGGCAAACAAAUGCCUACUUUCUACAUUCUCUCUUUGCUAUUGUUUUGUCUUGAUGUUUGAGUUUUUUAUUUGGUGAACAUGAUAGGGAUGCAAGAUGGUUUUGAGAGUCAUGUGGUGCCUGAAAUCAGAAGAAUGAUACUCACAGGGAGUAUUUAUUAUUAUUAUUAUUAUUAUUAUUAUUAUUAUUAUUAUUUUCUUCCUGGACAGUGAAGUUCAAAGGAGAUUUGGUAACUUUACAAAGUGAAUGUUUCCCUCCUGAUAUGUGACUGAGUUAGAUAUAGAGGAAAAUCAGAUUGCCCAAGAGAAACAAUUGUGAAAUUAGGUAUCAGUAUAAGAUUUGAUACCUUCUCCCUCCCUUAUGAUCUCACACAGAAGGGAGAGAAAAGGUGCCUCCAUAGAAAACCUUCUCCUCUGUCAGGAAGUAAGGCUGGUAUUCCCCAAGGAAGGAGAAGGGUUAUGACUCACUGAGGAGGCAGCGGGUGUGGUUCCUUUUAGACAUGCUCCAGCUGCUCCAUAAGCUGGAAAGACAUGGUCACUUCUCCUUUGUGGAUUUUGCCUGAGUUUGCAAUGUCCCACUUCUGAGAUAGAGCUGAAAGCAUAUUUUUAUCCUGUGUUAUAUGAAGAAUUUCUGUCUCCGUACAUGACUGUAUCAAUGCAGUUACAUAUUUUUAAGGUUACUGCCUUUCUGUCAGGCUAAGUGGUCAGUCUUAAAAUGACCCUGCGUAGAGACUAGAGGAUAGAACUUGUUGUAUGAAAGAGUACAGCCGUUCCAAAGAGGCCUCUAUGAAAGUUUUUUUCUUUUUCCCCUCCCCUCCAAUAUUGACUUCUAAGCAACUUUCAGCAUUCUCGGUGAGCCUGCCCUCACCCUUUUGUAAGUAAGUACUUUCUCUUCGGAGGACUCGACUUCUGAAUAUUCCAGGAAAUAGGUAUCCCAGACUGCAAUGCCCCAUUCACAACAUUCCCAAAUAAAAAAUCUUUCUUUUUUGCCUAGUUGGCUCACAGAAUACACAGUUUUAUGAAGCCUGUUUAAGAUGGCAGGUCUCUGUGCUUUAGUAUCUGGAGGAGACAUUCUUAUUGGUGCCUAUAGGCCAUGAUUGUGGAGAUGACAUAAAAAUUUUGGCUCUAAAUCUCUUUAGCAAAAAGCUCUGUUCAGAGACAGGCUAGAACAAUGGGCUGAAAGUGAUCUUGGCCUUUCAAGGGCUUUAUCCUAUCCAAAGUUCCAGCAGGAGAACCUGAUCUCCCAGAAAGUAUCUCUUUUAUUGCCAACCGUAGAGAAUCACUGACAAAACUAAUUAAAGAAUUUGAACCUCAUUCUGUCUUUCCUUAGCUGACCCUCAACCAGGGGCUGGACUCGAAACAAAGACACAAGAUAUAGAAUAUGAGGCUCUCACCAGGCUUUGGGUUGCCAUCAGAAAUAAUGAAGUUUGAAGUUCCUGAAUGUUAUCCAUUUAUUGGACUCGACUUUCCACCCUUUCCUUGAAUUCAAGGAGCCAGGUCAAAAUGAAACUUGCCUGCUUCUUCACUGUGAUCUGCACCACCUGGAAUAGUCCCCAAUACAGAAAACAUGCUGUAACUGUCUGUUAAUGACUCAAUGAGCCACAGAAGAAUACCUGAGUAAUGCACAUUUUUUCCCCAAAAAUAAUUGGAAGGCAUUGAAGUAAACUAAGGACCACAAUGUACUGAAGAAUAGAUGGAGUUAAUUUUGGAAAUAUUCCUAAAGGUUCAGAUCUUGAACUAACAUCUGAAAACCCUUCUGAAAGGUAUAGAAAAUGAACAGCAGAAACUUGUUUCUCCUCUGUAGACCAGUUCAGCCAGAAGCCUUGAGGCAGAAAUUGAGGAAAGGGUUCUGAAAAUGAAUGAGCCCAGCCUUGUUGGAGCAGAGAGACUCCGGAGAAGAGAAGUAACAAAUGAGAGGGGCAUCAGGGUGGGGUAGGUAGAGGAGAGUUGGAAUCAAUGGUCAGAAGUUUCUAUUUGGUCCAGAUGGUAAUAGGAAGCCACUGGAGGGCCAUGUUUACACAUUUUCAAAAUCCAAUUAGGAUACCACAUGUUUUUAUGGUCUAAUCACCCAUUUUGGACCCAUUAAAUAAAUUAGUUGAGAGAGAAAAACAAAGGGAAAAAUAAAACGAUGUGUCAUUUGAUAGCAUUAGGAAAUCAUGGGAUAAAUGUGUGAAAUUGGAAUGUUUGACCUGGAACCAAAUUAAUCCAAAUAUGGUCUUGAUGACUGAGUCUCGAACUGAACUAGGCCCACGCUAAUGUUUGAAAAUGUGAACAGUUAAGAAAAUACAAAAGAAAGGAUGGUGGUUUGGGUGAGGAACAUGGUCCAUUCUCUCUCUUUGAAUGGUUCAGAUAUUUACUUGCCGAGGGUGGAGGCCCAGGGCAGCUGAUUUCUCAUGCUCGAUUCCAAGCUCUAGGUUCUAACGGUUCUAUAAGAACACUGGUUGAUACACAUGAGGCGGAAGCAGCUGUUCCAGUGAAAUUCCCUCGGGAGAGGAAGGCAGGCCAGCCAUCCAGAUGGGAUCAAGCAAAGGGAGGAGGAUAGGGGAGAAACAGACACUGGGAACAGGCUGGGAUUUGGUGUGGCACCUGCUGUCCAUCCUGUCCUCAGCCUUAGCCACAAGUUAGAACAUACAGUAAAUGGGGUGUAGUGACAAAACAGAAGAGUUUUCUUGGCAGAAAGAAAUCAUCCUCGUUCUCUUGUGCUAGGAGGAUUUUAUUUUUUAGAACCCCAUUACUCAGAGUGUGGUUCCCCACGCAGGGCAUCCACAGCUGCUGGGGGCUUGUUAGAAAUGCAGAAACUCAGGCCUCAAACCAGACUAGCUAAAGAAGAAUCUGCACUUUAACGUUCUUUCCCAGGUGACUCGUAAGCACAUUAGUUUGCAAAACAUUGUGUCAGA